AGACCUACGGGGGGCAGCAGUGGGGGAUAUUGCACAAUGGGGGGAACCCUGAUGCAGCGACGCCGCGUGGGUGAAGGAGUGCUUCGGCAUGUAAAGCCCUGUCGGCAGGGAAGAAGCAAGACGGUACCUGACUAAGAAGCCCCGGCUAACUACGUGCCAGCAGCCGCGGUAAUACGUAGGGGGCGAGCGUUAUCCGGAUUUACUGGGUGUAAAGGGAGCGUAGACGGCUUGGCAAGCCAGAUGUGAAAGGCUGGGGCUCAACCCCAGGACUGCAUUUGGAACUGUCAUGCUAGAGUGUCGGAGAG
rnacentral:rRNA from 1 species